AGGUAUAGAGUGCGUGAGCUGCAACCUAAGCAAUUUCUUCAGAAAUGUGUUCAGGAUGCCCAGAAGGCCAAAAUUAAAUAUUU